UUUCGUCUGGCCUGGUGAAAUCCAGGGCCAUCGCGUUUCCUCCGAGGCUCGGCCAGAGAAUGCGAAGGGAGAGAGGCAGGACAAAAGUUGAGGCGAAUCCAGAGGCAUGCCGAUGGGUCUUCAGUUCUCUGAUGCGGAGAUGAUGUCGGAGCUCUUGGUAUGGUAGGCAUGUGGCCUCAGGAUUUAAUGAGAAUUUAAUACCAAGAUAAAUCGGUUUUUAAUUCAAGGAGCUCUUUCUUGCAAGAUCCUUUGCUACAAUGGAGAUUAAGAAGGAGAUAAGCUGCAAGAAUGAGUCCAAUAUUUCCAAGCAAGGUUGUUCUUUCUCCCAUAUUACUUAAUCCAGAUUCUGGCUUUAAAGAUUCAUCUCAAGGAAUUACAUUAUUGAAGAUGUCGGAAAAAGAUUUCCUGGAUCUUGGAAGAGAAUUACUAAAACUGUGCAGGGGAGGAAUAAAAUUGCAGGGUGUUUUUCUUAGAGAACACCAUGUGUGAGAUUUAUCAAGAAUUCGAAGAUUUAUAUAAGAUACAGGUCCUUUGCGCCAUUUCAACAUGUGUGAAUCAGUUGUCACACUGACCCACAACACACAGCACCUGACCCACAGCAACACAGCUGAACUUUAAGUUGUCACAAUAUUAACUGUGAAUUAUUGCAUAAACUUGGCUACCUCUCUUUAUUCCAGAAUCAUUAUGCAAAGAAAAGGUGUGCAUGAAGAAUGGAUGGUAACAGAAAAAAAGAAAAUGUGAUAAACCCAUGGAACAUUUUACAAAAAUGGAUAUUCAGAAGAGGGAAUUGGUCAAUAAAUAUGACUGAACUACAAAGAAAUGAAAAGUGGUUAACACUGCAGGUAAAAUUAGAAGCUUUGAAAAUGGCCACUGCAAAGGAAAUAUAGAACGAUAUCAUGACCUACAUGAAACAACAGUACAAGCCACAUUUUAAGAGUCUGAUGAAUAUAAGAGCAAGAUAAAGUUGGUUCAACAUCUUUUAGUGUAAAAUUUCACCAAGAACAGAAAGCUGCUUAUGGUUGAAAUGGAGCAUUUACUUUUCCUUUGUAGUGUAAUCAAGAACAAAUACCAGUUUGGCAUUGAAGUUAGUUGCUACAUUGAAGGAAAUAGUAAUUACAAGGACAUCUAUUUACUGCCAGUAAAGGCUGGUUUCAUCUCAAAGUCAACACAAAUUAAUGGUAAACUACCUAGUGAAGCUACAAACUCAGAUAAGCAUGCUACUGUGAAAUGUGCACUCAGAUUCCAAGAAUUACAGGCAGUCCUUGCUUUGUACAAUAGUGAGAGGCUGUACUGUGGAAAAACUGCAGGAUUUGGAUGGGAUGUAAAUGGAGAUAAAGAUGACUGUGAGAGUGUUGACCCUGCUGCCAUUCAAGAAACAGUUCUAGGUGUGUAGGAGGCAGAACUUAGUGAAGUUUUAUGUGAGGAAAGCAGUCGUAAACAAUGUAUGCGUCUCAAAAGAAGUGAUGCUGUUGAACAACUUCACAUUGAAGGAACUCGCAGAGCUGUAUCAUGAUAUUGACUGUUAAAAAUAAAAUUUUGGAAGCUGAUUCAAAGUUGGAAAUUAGUAUGACAGUUUGCCAAGGCAUAGAUAAGAUGCCUUGGCCUCUUACUCCAUAUUAUAAGUUUUAUAAUGAGAAAACAAGCACAUUUCAACACUAUUUGAUACAUCUUUUUUUAUAAAGAAAUAAAACAUAA